rnacentral:piRNA from 1 species
UAGCUGCUAAAACUGUUGAAGAAG